GAUGAACGCCGGCGGUGUGCCUAAUACAUGCAAGUCGAACGCGUUGGCCCGAUUGAUUGAUGGUGCUUGCACCUGAUUGAUUUUGGUCGCCAACGAGUGGCGGACGGGUGAGUAACACGUAGGUAACCUGCCCAGAAGCGGGGGACAACAUUUGGAAACAGAUGCUAAUACCGCAUAACAGCGUUGUUUGCAUGAACAACGCUUAAAAGAUGGCUUCUCGCUAUCACUUCUGGAUGGACCUGCGGUGCAUUAGCUUGUUGGUGGGGUAACGGCCUACCAAGGCGAUGAUGCAUAGCCGAGUUGAGAGACUGAUCGGCCACAAUGGGACUGAGACACGGCCCAUACUCCUACGGGAGGCAGCAGUAGGGAAUCUUCCACAAUGGGCGCAAGCCUGAUGGAGCAACACCGCGUGAGUGAAGAAGGGUUUCGGCUCGUAAAGCUCUGUUGUUAAAGAAGAACACGUAUGAGAGUAACUGUUCAUACGUUGACGGUAUUUAACCAGAAAGUCACGGCUAACUACGUGCCAGCAGCCGCGGUAAUACGUAGGUGGCAAGCGUUAUCCGGAUUUAUUGGGCGUAAAGAGAGUGCAGGCGGUUUUCUAAGUCUGAUGUGAAAGCCUUCGGCUUAACCGGAGAAGUGCAUCGGAAACUGGAUAACUUGAGUGCAGAAGAGGGUAGUGGAACUCCAUGUGUAGCGGUGGAAUGCGUAGAUAUAUGGAAGAACACCAGUGGCGAAGGCGGCUACCUGGUCUGCAACUGACGCUGAGACUCGAAAGCAUGGGUAGCGAACAGGAUUAGAUACCCUGGUAGUCCAUGCCGUAAACGAUGAGUGCUAGGUGUUGGAGGGUUUCCGCCCUUCAGUGCCGGAGCUAACGCAUUAAGCACUCCGCCUGGGGAGUACGACCGCAAGGUUGAAACUCAAAGGAAUUGACGGGGGCCCGCACAAGCGGUGGAGCAUGUGGUUUAAUUCGAAGCUACGCGAAGAACCUUACCAGGUCUUGACAUCUUGCGCCAACCCUAGAGAUAGGGCGUUUCCUUCGGGAACGCAAUGACAGGUGGUGCAUGGUCGUCGUCAGCUCGUGUCGUGAGAUGUUGGGUUAAGUCCCGCAACGAGCGCAACCCUUGUUACUAGUUGCCAGCAUUAAGUUGGGCACUCUAGUGAGACUGCCGGUGACAAACCGGAGGAAGGUGGGGACGACGUCAGAUCAUCAUGCCCCUUAUGACCUGGGCUACACACGUGCUACAAUGGACGGUACAACGAGUCGCGAACUCGCGAGGGCAAGCAAAUCUCUUAAAACCGUUCUCAGUUCGGACUGCAGGCUGCAACUCGCCUGCACGAAGUCGGAAUCGCUAGUAAUCGCGGAUCAGCAUGCCGCGGUGAAUACGUUCCCGGGCCUUGUACACACCGCCCGUCACACCAUGAGAGUUUGUAACACCCAAAGUCGGUGGGGUAACCUUUUAGGAGCCAGCCGCCUAAGGUGGGACAGAUGAUUAGGGUG
rnacentral:rRNA from 1 species